AACGAACGCUGGCGGCAUGCCUAACACAUGCAAGUCGAACGAGAUCUUCGGGUCUAGUGGCGCACGGGUGCGUAACGCGUGGGAAUCUGCCCUUUGGUUCGGAAUAACAGUUGGAAACGACUGCUAAUACCGGAUGAUGACGAAAGUCCAAAGAUUUAUCGCCAGAGGAUGAGCCCGCGUAGGAUUAGCUAGUUGGUGUGGUAAAGGCGCACCAAGGCGACGAUCCUUAGCUGGUCUGAGAGGAUGAUCAGCCACACUGGGACGGAGACACGGCCCAGACUCCUACGGGAGGCAGCAGUGGGGAAUAUUGGACAAGGGGCGAAAGCCUGAUCCAGCAAUGCCGGGUGAGUGAUGAAGGCCUUAGGUUUGUAAAGCUCUUUUCCCCGGGAUGAUAAUGACAGUCCCGGGAGAAUAAGCUCCGGCUAACUCCGUGCCAGCCGCCGCCGUAA
rnacentral:rRNA from 1 species